UACAGAGGGUGCAAGCGUUAAUCGGAAUUACUGGGCGUAAAGCGUGCGUAGACGGUCAUGUAAGUCGGGUGUGAAAGCCCCGGGCUCAACCUGGGAAUUGCAUUCGAGACUGCAUGGCUAGGAUGCGGAAGAGGGAAGCGGAAUUUCCGGUGUAGCGGUGAAAUGCGUAGAUAUCGGAAGGAACACCAGUGGCGAAGGCGACUUCCUGGCCUGUUCUUGACGCUGAGGCGCGAAAGCUAGGGGAGCAAACGGG
rnacentral:rRNA from 1 species